UACGGGGGGGGCAAGCGUUGUUCGGAAUUACUGGGCGUAAAGCGCGCGUAGGCGGCUUUUCAAGUCAGGCGUGAAAGCCCCAGGCUUAACCUGGGAAUUGCGUUUGAUACUGUUGAGCUAGAGUGUGGAAGGGGCUACUGGAAUUCCGUGUGUAGCGGUGAAAUGCGUAGAUAUACGGAGGAACACCUGCGGCGAAGGCGGGUUGCUGGGCUGACACUGACGCUGAUGCGCGAAAGCCAGGGGAGCGAACGGG
rnacentral:rRNA from 1 species